UACGUAGGGGGCGAGCGUUGUCCGGAUUUAUUGGGCGUAAAGGGCGCGUAGGCGGGAUGGCAAGUCGGUCGUGAAAUCCCUCGGCUCAACCGAGGAACGUCGAUCGAUACUGCUGUUCUUGAGGAUUGCAGAGGAGACUGGAAUUCCCGGUGUAGCGGUGAAAUGUGUAGAGAUCGGGAGGAACACCGGUGGCGAAGGCGGGUCUCUGGGCAAUUCCUGACGCUGAGGCGCGAAAGCGUGGGGAGCAAACAGG
rnacentral:rRNA from 1 species